rnacentral:lncRNA from 1 species
GGAAAUGGUGAUCAGACUGGCCCUGAAUCUAGGGGAUAUCAUCUUCCAUAUGGCAGAAGCAAUGGUCCGGGACCUAUCAGUCCACAGCUACCAGGAACACCUAGUAGUCAAACAGUCAGGACCACAAUAAGUAACGCCAGAGAUCCGAGGAGAGCCUUUAAAAGAUGAUCUAAGCCAAAGAGACACAUGUAGUUUUUAAACUACAUGACCUACUUGAACACUUAGUGCACUUUUAUUUAUUCUUAACUGUGAAAACUUUGUCUCUUACGGGUUUCCUUUUAUAUUUUUGGUUUGUUGAAAAGAGUGGUUGGUUUUUACUGAAAAAACUGUUACACUGCUCAGUUACAUCCUAUUGAAGAAUAGGAACUCUGAAAGCAGGAACAUUUAUUUUUUGAGCAAGAACUUACUGGGUAUCACUUGAAAACCUGUCCCUGUUUCGAGGGUGAGUUACUUAAGACACCAGCUUAUAUAUAGCCUCUGUGAGUCUGGCUUCUGCAUAAACUUUGUAAUGUUUGUCAUAAUGUUUAAUGGAACUUGUCUUAAACUUGAAUAUUGCCACCUGAAGCAAUAACCACCCCAAGCCAGAAACUUGGACAGCAUUGUCAACAUUUUUGAGUAUUCCUGAUCUAGGAAUGGCUUGACUCCCUAGAGUGUCUGCCUGCCAUAAGGAUUUUUUCACAGACAGAAUCAGAAUCAUCCUAAACUCUUGUUUAUUGACCAGAUAACCAAAUUCUUCAUCAGAAUUAUGGAAUAAAAUAUGUAAUAUAACAAGUAAUUUUUAGAAGAAAACGGUUUAAGAUGAUGCUCUUAACAUUUGUUGCAAACAUUGAAGUUUACAUUGAAGAAAAAUU